UACGGAGGGAGCUAGCGUUGUUCGGAAUUACUGGGCGUAAAGCGCACGUAGGCGGCUUUUCAAGUCAGGGGUGAAAUCCCAGGGCUCAACCCUGGAACUGCCUUCUAAACUGCAAGCCUGGAGGUCAGGAGAGGCGAGUGGAAUACCGAGUGUAGAGGUGAAAUUCGUAGAUAUUCGGUGGAACACCAGUGGCGAAGGCGACUCGCUGGACUGAUACUGACGCUGAGGUGCGAAAGCGUGGGGAGCAAACAGGAUUAGAAACCCCAGUAGU
rnacentral:rRNA from 1 species